AAGAACAAUCCUAGUGGUGGGAUAGGGAGGAGGUUCAAUUCAAUAUCUCUUCACUGUAUUCUCAAAAGUCUCUCUUUGAAAAAUUUAAUUAAUCAAUGGCCGGUGGAAGGUUCUGCUUCCAGUUGCUUCUACAUGAAUUAAUGGCAGUGAUGAUUUUGAUUAGCAAGAGAAUGGCUGCUAUUGCACUUGGAUUUCUACUACUCCACUCUGGAUUAAUAACCCUUGGAGAUGCCGGCGGCAUCGUCCAACGCCACUGCCCGGAGAAGGAGAGGCAUGCUCUCAUCUCCUUCAAACGAGAGCUCAUUGAUGAUUUUGGCAUGCUCUCUUCUUGGGCAACUCACCAUGAUGAUGUCCACAACAAGAAUUGCUGUGAUUGGAGAGGAGUUCUCUGUAGCUAUUCAACUGGUCACGUUAUUGCCCUCCAUCUUCCUGGCUACAUUCAACAGUCCCCUUAUUCUAGGUACAAUCGAGUGUAUUUGGGAGCUAACAUUACUUCUUUAUUACUUGAAUUGGAGCAUCUUAAGCAUUUGGACCUCAGCAACAAUUUUCUUCACUGGAUUCUUCCAGAUUUUACGGGUUCCCUUGCAAAAUUAGAAUAUCUCAAUCUCUCCCACAAUUCAUUUAUUGGAACACUGUCGUAUCAGGGUGGAAAUCUUUCAAACUUGCGUACUCUUGAUCUUGGAUGGAAUUCUUAUAUAGAUUCUCCAAGUCUUGAGUGGCUUUCCGAUCUUCAUCUUUUAAGAUACCUCGAUCUCAGUGAAGUUGACCUGGGCAGAGCCAGUGAUUGGCAACAAGCAAUUUGUAACCUCCCUUCCCUCACACACUUAAACCUAGACAUGUGUGAACUCUCUCAAGUGCUUCAGCCCUCAAUUGCAUCCCACCGCUUCAACUCUUCUCGCUCUCUUGUUUUCCUUUCUCUCUCUGCUAACAAUCUCAAUUCUUCAUUUAUAUACGCAUGGGAAGAACUCUUCAACUCUAGCCGCAACAGCCUCCAGGAUGUUGAUCUCUCUUAUAACAACUUGCAAGAUCCCAUUCCUGAAGCUUUUGGGAGAUUGUGUAAUUUAAAAUCAUUGUCUCUGGAUAGGAAUCAAUUGAACCAAAAGCUUUCAGGGCUUUUUCAAACAUUAUACAUGGAUGAUUGUGGAGGGAACUCAUCAUCGUUAGAGAUGUUGUAUCUUCAUGAGAAUAAUCUUAGCGGUUCAUUGCCGAACUUGGCUAGAUUUUCAUCCUUGAUGCAUUUGGAUUUGAGCUUUAAUCAAUUGAAUGCGCCUUUCCCACAAGAUUUUAGAUUUCCUUCUAGCCUUGUUGUUCUGGACUUGACAAACAACAUAAUUAUGGGACCAUUGCCUAAACUAAUGGCAUGUUCAUCCUUGGUGAAACUAUGUCUCGCCAAUAACCAGACAGAUGGCACUAUACUAGAAGAUCUUGGACGCCUUUCUCAACUUGAGGUUUUUGAUGUUUCUUCAAAUUAUUUUGAGGGCAUGAUAUCCGAAGCUCACUUUUCUAGUCUCUCCAAAUUGAAAUACUUGGACUUGUCUCACAACACAUUAACUUUAAACCUUAGCUUUGAUUGGGUUCCCCCUUUCCAACUGGAUUUUAUAUUUCUAAGUGGCUGCAAAUUGGGGCCUCAUUUCCCUAAGUGGCUAAGAAAUCAAAAUAAAUAUUCUCAACUUGACAUCUCUUCUGCUACAAUUUCAGAACCUAUCCCCAAAUGGUUUUGGGACCAAUCUCGAGGAUUAGAUUACUUAGAUCUCUCUCAUAACCACAUUAGUGCUAGGUUGCCUAAUUCAUCCCCAACAUUUUGUAAUGAAGGAGCAUUCAUAGAUUUAAGUUUCAACCAUUUCAUAGGUCCAAUAAUUCCGCCAUUUCUGCGUAAUGCAUCGAUGUGGAAUCGCUCCAAUAAUAAGUUUUCAGGUUCUCUCUCGUUCUUGUGCGAGAUUUCUGGUACCUUUUUGGUAUAUCUUGACUUGUCAAAUAACUUAUUAUAAGGAAAGCUUCCUAAUUGUUGGAUGCAAUUUGAAUCUUUAGGAGUUCUUCAUUUGGAAAACAAUAAAUUUUCAGGGAAAAUUCCUAGCUCAAUUGGCUCCUUGUCCGACAUUGAAAGCUUGCAUUUACACCACAAUGAUUUUAAUGAAGAACUGCCUUCAUCAUUACAAAAUUGCAAAUGGUUGGUGACUCUUGAUUUGGGGGAGAAUCAAUUUUUUGGUACAAUACCAACAUGGAUAGGGCAUGACCUAGUCAAUUUACGCUUUCUUAGUCUAAGAUCGAACCAAUUCCAUGGAAGCAUACCUUUAAACCUAUGUCAUCUAUCAUAAAUUCAAAUUUUGGACCUCUCUCAAAACAACAUCUCGGGAACUAUACCAAGAUGCCUCUACAAUUUGACUAGCAUGAUGAAAAAGGAAAUUUCAAAUUUUACGCUUAGCUUCAACGUUAUUCAUCGGUGUCAUUUAAAAAUAUCAUGUAAUGAGAUGCUUGAGAAUGUAUUCUUAAUUUGGAAGGGAAAAAUGUCAGAGUUCAUAAACACUUUGGUACUUUUAAGGAGUAUUGAUCUUUCAAGCAAUAAACUAGAUGGUGAAAUUCCUAGAGAAAUCACCAUCCUAAAAGAAUUGGUGAACUUGAAUCUAUCGAGAAACUUAUUGAAUGGAUCAAUUCCUUCAAAGAUUGGAGAGCUGGAAUCAUUAGAUUCUCUUGAUUUGUCCAGAAAUCAACUUUUCGGUGAAAUUCCUACAAGUCUUUCUCAAAUAAGUCGACUUAGUGUCUUAGACUUAUCAUGCAACAAAUUGUCAGGAAAAAUUCCAAUAGGCACUCAAUUACAAGGUUUUAAUGCUUCUGUAUACAUGGGGAAUCCCCAUCAAUGUGGGCUUCCACUUCUGAAAAGGUGCGUUGGGGACCAAUUAACUUCAAAUCAACCACAUGUCAAUGUUCAUGGAGACAAUGAAAGUACUCAAGGAGAUAAAAUUGGACUAAUAGUAUUCCCAUGGUUUUAUGAAGGUUUGGGUCUUGGAUUUGUUGUAGGAUUUUGGGGAGUCUGUGGCACUCUAGUGCUCAAUACCUCAUGGAGAAUUGCCUAUUUUCAGUUCUUAAACAAUAUGAAAGACAGACUCUUUGUGAUGGUUGCAAUGUAUUCGGCUCGAUUUGGAAGGAGGAUUCAAGCUUUAAAUGGUCAUGCUUGAGAUCACUUAUCAUACUAGACUCAUCAAUAGCCAAGAGACCCAGAUGAAUGCGCAGUGGGUGAUUGUCGCUCGUCAGAUUGAUCACGUUCCACACCUCACUAGUCCCCACCUUCGACAUCUCCAUCGUAGGAUCCUCAUACAAUCUCGCAUUCAAGUACAAAUGCGUGGGCUCAUCUAUAUUGCUCGUGUACUCGUACAUACUAAUGUAUCGUGUUCGCGAAGCACUGGAUAAAUCUGGCAUCAGAUACUUGAUGAGACGCUUAGGCAGUCGCGAUGUGUCAACUUCAGAGCGUCUCCUGUUCACAAACAUCAUCACCUUGCCAUUGGAUUCGUUGGUCGGGUCUCCCGUCGGGUAAGGAUACGGUGCAUCGUUGGCUAGAAUAGUUGUGUUUGAUGUUGACUCAGAAAAGUCAACAACCAUGUCGGCAAUCCCAACAUGCAGAUUACCCCAUAUGAGAUAUCUAGAGUUUGUUUCUUUAUCCCGUUUAGUUAGAGGUAUGAUACAACUUGACAAAAUUGGUCUUCCUAAUUUAAGAGUCCAAUGUGUCGUUUUAUCUUCAUUUCGUUUUUGUUACAUUUAGUCUUUAUUUCUUUGUAACUCGUUUUAUUAGAACCACGAUAUUCUUCCACCAUAAGUGAGAGGUUUUCCAAUAA